UAGUUCACAACCCUGGCCCCGCUGUCCGCCCCUCAGGAGGGGGCCGUGACGGAUCAUCAGCGUAAGGAGGAUAUGGAGCUGUUGGAACGGGUCCAAAGGAGACUACAGAGAUGAUCGGAGGGCUGGAGCACCUCCCAUACAAGGACAGGGCAGGUCAGAUUACCUGGCUGGACAGUCAUGAGCACAGGCUUUGCUGCAUUACUGAGGCUGAUUUGGAAGAGGGAACCAAGUGCCAUCAAGCAGCAACUGUGUUAGGUGAGGCGCGGGCACCCUAUGUCCCAUGCUCAGUGCAGGGCUGAUACCUCCUCUGUCUUCCUCAGCGGAGGACACAUCAGUAAGUUUAAGAGGAACUACUCAGCUCUGCAAUACCCCAGACCAUGACUGUCAGCCCUAUUAAUUGCCAGCUUCUGAGAAUCCAAGGUGUUACAGUCACCACUUGGCUUUGUUGUUCUGGGAUACAAUGCUGAACACUGGACAACCACAGAAGAAGAUAAACUCCCUGCCACCAAAGGUGUCUUAACAUUUGAGCAGCCCAUAAACAAAACCACUGUGACAUCUUAAAAAGACAUACGGUGUAAAGCUAAGCUCAAGAAAAGGACAAAAUCUAACUUCAAAACAACUUUCAAACCCUGCUUUUUUUGCUCAUUCUUGACACCAGAGCACUCAUACAGACCCACAUCAGGUUUAAAAUGCGUUCAUCUUUCAUAGGCCUUUCACCAGACUGGGACUUUCUUUUCUUUUCUUCUUGCCUGCAAAAUAAAAAAGAAGCAAUGUGAAGGUAAACCCACAGAAUAAAUCCAUCUGAGUAUACAUUCCCUUGAUAAUAAUGAAUUUUCUCUUGCUUCUGGGAACCGGCUAGACUCAAAACUGGUUUAAAUUGAAUCCACAACUCGCUUCUUAUUUACAGAACAGCAUUACUUAACAAUAUAGAAUAAUUUCUUCCCACAGGAUGCCAUGAUGACAAUAUCUGAAGUAUUUCAAGCCUGUCAUGACAUUCUUUAGUGAAAGAAUGUGCAAAAACUGUGAUAAUAUUGCAGCUUUUUGCUUUGAGAACUAUGGAGUUUUCCUUAUAUGAUUAUUAGUAUUCAUCUUGAUUGCUGUAUUCCUUGGCAAAUGAAAGAUAUUAUUUUCUGGGUAAUCUCAAUGCCCAGAUUCAGAGUCUGUGGGCUGGCGGUGUACUAAUUAAGGUUAGUGGGUCAAGGUGAGCAUAAAUUGGUAGCAUCAUGUGUAGUAUAGGAAGACAUAAGACAGAGGUUAUCGGAUAGUCUUCCCUUUUUCCUUUCUGUUUUACCUAUUUUUCUGUCCUCUGGAGUUUACAUUUUGUCUAGUUUUGCUUGCUUUCACCCAACUGGCACAAUUUACUCACAACUUCCUGUAGUUUAUUCCAUCUUGCAUAGCGAUUCGCUUAACUUCCAGCUUGCUCUUUUCUUCAACAUUGCCCUUGAAUUUGGCUUAUUAUGAUCAAGCUGUAGCAUUAAUAUUAUGGCAUGAGCAUCUGUGAUUCUUUGGCCAAAUUCAAAGCUAAACUAAGUGUUAUAACAACCAAGAAUAUAUGUAAUUGUACAGUAUAUGACCAGGUUAGAUCUGAUGCCUUCUCUCAGUUGGCAGGGUUUAUUUUGUGGAAAGUCCUUUUAUCUUGUGAUUGUAUAAUAUUACAAUUGGGUUUUUUUUUGAAACCAGAUUAAGACUCCAAAUGACCAAGAGCAAAGUACACUGGGGCGUUACUCAGCUCAUCCAGAAUCCAUUAUCCUGUCAGUGGCAGGACUAAUUUCACAGAGAGUUUGCCCCUUGGAAAUGUUUUACAAUGGAACUUGGGAGAGAUGGCUUUUGUCUGCCUUGCUAGCUUCAUCUUUGCCAACAGAAAACUCUCUCUAAUAGCAGGCAUUCUUCAGAGCCACCAUUUGGACUACAGUUUCCCAAAUCCUCAGGAACUGGAUGAAGGAGAGACUUGGCCUGUGUUACAUUCUAGAAUGAACUCUAAUUGAAGGGCAUACUUUAGCUUGGUUUCCUCAUUUCCAGUUACUUUCCUGAGACAUUUUCCUGAACCUCUCUGCUGUUUUUGUCAUGCUAUCCAGUUAGGAUAACAUUUCCUUUAUCCUCUUUAAUACUGUGACACAUUCUGCGCUGAGAUUAAUUUUUAACAAUAUUCUGUAAAUCUAAAUGUACUAUCAUUUAAUCUAAUUGAGAACAUGGAUUAUGUCUAUUUGCAUUGUAACAAGGCAUUGCAUUCCAAGGGAUAUAGGAGAAUAUAACAAUAAGGUUUUAUGUAAACACUUGAUGAUUAAAUACUGUCAGUGGAAAUAAGCAACAAAACCUUUCAUUACAUGCAAGUCCUGAUCCUUGUAAAUACAAUUACAGCAAAUACAGCAAGAGGUUUAACAUUAUGAAGCAGCAGCAGCUGCUUCAGAAUUAACACUGUAAAUAGUUGCUAAGACUAACGUUCAGUCCUCUUCUAUUUGAAUUCAUGUGCUAGUCAUCUAUACUAUUCCAAAAAGCUGCCAGCCCCAUAGUUUUUCAGGUGCCACACCACAUCAUAACAGAAAGUAAAAAAGGGGAAGGAAUGAAAAAAAAGAAAUUCUAAAAUCCUGUUUUUUCUAUCAUAGUCAGUUGAGAACUUCCAGGAUUCAAGACAGAAAAAGCUCAUACGACCUCUGUCACCCCAUGUCAUGUAAGGUUACAUCCAGUCAGAAGGUGGUAGUAUAAUACAUAGCUAGAAAAGUCCUCUCCAGAUUCAAUAGAAAAUUAUGUGAUAAUUUGUUAAAAAAAUAGGCAGAAACAACUUUAAUUCUGCUUUUAUUUACCAGCUACUGAUAUGGAAUGAGCACCUUGAAUGAGCACCAGUCUUUAAGAAUCAUACUAGUUCCGAAAAAACAAUGUCAAAUCCUUAGUCCAAAAGAUAAUCUGUUGAUUUCCUUUUCUUUUGGUCUCAGAUAAGAGUGUUCUAUCCCUUUGGGAAUCUGCCAUAAUUAAAAACAUAAUUCCCUGUAAUAUUUUGAUAUUUGUAUUUUGAUGUUUUUUCAAUAGACUUUGAAAAAAAUGUAAUAUUUUUGAAGUCUGUGUGUAUUUGAAACAAACUCUGGUUUUUGCUUAGUGACCUUGUCAGAAAGUACCUUUUAGUGUUAAGGAAUGAAACGAGAUUCUUGAAUGUGCUUAUGGAAGUUACUAGUAGUGGGAGGUAUAUGUAUGAACUACUCAUAGGAAGAAAGUAAGGGAUUAAUUAAAGGUUCAAUAGAAUUUGGAUGUAAAAGAAAAUGUGAAAAUGUCUUUAUCUCCCACUUAUUUCAUUCCCUGUUCACUUCCCAUGUAAGCUAGGUGCGCAGUCAACAGCAGAAAGGUUUUGUCUCACUAUGAUGAAGUGCAGAACAAUUCCGGCAGUGAUGGGUAAAAUAUAAGUGUCUUUCUACUUGAAAUAAUAUUCCAGGCAUCAUAAUCUGCAGUUGGUAUCCCACAUUUGUUGGCUCAAUGAUUUACUUAGUGAAUAUAAUGAAUUUUAAAAAUACAUGCUUUUCUACUUCACAUUUUACAACUUUGUCUUGGAGUUUGGCAGUCUAGUAUCUUCUUAUUUACAUAUCCCUUGUAAUUAUUUAACUAUCUGCCCUGCAAUUUUAGCAUCUGGCCAAAUGGCCUCUAGGUCCAGUAGGUCAUCUGGCCUGUAACUGAAGAAGCAGCAAUUCAGCAUUAAAGAUUUUCCUAUAGGAAGUGAAAGCACUCAGAGCAUUUGGAUUAGGUCUUCUCAGCUAGGUUUAAAAAAUAGAGAAUCUGAAAAUCUGCACAGAGGAUUUGUCCUGAAAACUGCAUUUUGCUCCAUUUACAUUUUCAAACUCCACUUGUGCAUCAAAAGUUUAAAGAAAUAAGAUGUACGACUGCUCUCAACUGACUCAGUACUUGUAGGAGAUGGAGUGAAAACAGCAACUUGACCAUUCUAGGCACCAAAAUACCAACUUAAGCAGCUGAGACUGUAUUUACAAGCUCACCUGACAAAAGGGAGUCUUGUGCAAUAAACACAAGUAUAUUUUUAAAAGAAGCAGGACUGCCUUAUAGUGCAAUAAACAAUUUUUUUAUUUCCUCGUACUCUGUCUCAGUGACUAGGGCUGUCUCUGCUUCACAGUACCCUGCCUUUUUUCUGUCCUGCACUAUGUAAUUUUUAGUUGUUGCAGUAAGGAAAAUUAAUGUAUUUAACUGUUAAAAGUUCACUGUUAAAGGAGUAAUUAUUUUGACAUUUAAGAACACUACGCUAUUAGAUUGAUUACUGUUUUGUACUUUUGUGAGGGAUUUAAGCACUCAAAAUCUGACUCCUUUCCAAGACAAUUAACUGAUUAAGCACCUAAUUUUAGGUGUGGAAGUGAUAGUUAUUCGUAACAGUGUUUUCCUCAUUUGAAAUAAAGAUUAUGAAUCUGUAUAAUCAAAGUUCACUCAGAAUCACACAACAGGUGAGGUUGGAAGAGACCUUUGGAGGUCAUCUGAUCCAAUCCCCCUGCUGAAGCAAAGCCAUCUAGAGCUGAUUGCACAGAACCAUGUCCAGAUAAUUUUUUAAUAUCUCCAAGUCUGGAGACUCCACAGCCUCUCUGGGCAGCCUGCGCCAGUGCUCAGUCACCCUCAAAAAAAGUCUUUAUAGAGGGAAUCUCCUGUAUUUCGUCUCGUACAUUUUGUCCUCUCAUUGGUCGACACUGAGAAAAACCUGGGUCUGUCUUCUUAACAGCUUCUCUUCAUGUAUUUAAAUUGCCAAUCCGUCAUUGCUGAUAAACUCCCUCCUUCUGUUUCAAUGCUAGUGAAGAACUCAUUACCAGCAGUAGGGACUGAGAAAGUAUAUCUUACUUCCUUAUUGCAAACACAUACAGAGCUGAGUAUUUAUGAAAUGUAUGAAAUUAAUGAAAUCACAAAUAUCAUGAAGUACCAAACCAAAGUCCCUUAUGUUGCUAAUUACUCAAUAUUUUCAUUGGUCUGGGCUAUAUUGUUCAAGAUCUGAAGCAACAGCCACACAUAAGACCACAUGGCACAUAUUCCCCUGUUACAUCUUUCCACUUCGAUAUGCUGUCUGCCCCUUCCCUCAGCUCUGUGCUACAUCACCAGAUUCUGCUGCCCGAGUGUCUUGCAGGGUUUUGAGGAUGGGGCUCCAUUCUCCCCUCCUCACGCAGAAGGACUCUGACCCCUCAGUCAGACCUGGACACUGCAGGGAACAUUUGCUUUAGGGAGCUUUUCUACUUGGGAAGGACUGUCACAGUUAUCCAUCCAUAACCUUCCCUUCUGCUUGCUCUCCUCUCCCUCCUCAUAACCAGCCUUCCUCCUUGUCCUGCUGCCAUGGUGGAAUUGAGUAUGUGAAUCUUUAUGAGAUGACUUUUCUCUGGACAGCUUUAAACCACAUGAAUGGUGAGAACAUGCAGUCCCAAGACCGAAGUAAACCCACAGAUAAUGUGGAUGGAAGAAGCCUCAGCACUGAGUGGUUUGAUCUGUUACUUGAUUCUUAGCACAUUAAAUUACUUGGAGUAAUAGAUGUAACUUCACUGGAACGAAAAAGAAUUGUACCCACUGUAUACAGGCACAUAACUUGAGUACAUUAGUGUGUAUUCAAACACUCAUAAAUCUUUUGGUGCUCAUGUUCAACAGCUGAGAAGUCAAAUAUUUGUCCACUUCAUAUGCCUGUGCUGAUUUUCAAACUGCGUCAAAUUCUAGCAAUUCAAGGGACAUCUCAUGUAUAUACUUAACUGAUUCUUAAGUGUUCUGCAAGCACUCACAAAACCACUGCUGUGAUGGGUGUCACGGCUUACAGUCUAUUAAAGGCAAACUUUUCUGUAAUUUUUCAUGUUCCGUUUCCUGUUUUGUUUAACAUAGUUCAUUAUAUGCUUGCUCAAUGCGCUUCUUUUGUGUUGAUGCGUGUCUGUUUGCAAAUGAUAUUGAAAGGAACCUGCUUGGUUAGGGACCCAAUUAAACUCCAGCUGAUGGUAAGGCACAUUUGUUUCACAAAGCUUAGCCGCCUACUUUAGCUGAUUAGCAGUAGCCUUCAGCAUAAUGCAAUUUAAGAUACAAGAUGUAAUUUUCUAUUGAUGCAAAAGAUUAUGUUAUGAAGACUAUUGGUAAGAUUUGCUGUUCUAUGCCUAAAAUUAUGAAUUAAUUCUGUAAACAUAAAAAUUUGCUUUUUACAUCUCCUGUGCAGCGUAAUACAACCCAAGGAACUAAUCACUCACAAUGACUUGAUAGAUUCCAGAUCUGUGAAUCGGGGUUUAACACACAAAGCCUCUAGUUUGUUUAGAGAGAAAUAAAAGCUGCAGCAAAUGUCUAGCAUUUGUAAAUAGGCCAGCAUGCCGUGCUUUUAUAUUCACAGAAAUAACACCAUAAAUUUGCAUUCAAGAUGAAAAUACAUAAAUAGACUCCCAAAGAACAACAUUUCUGGUAGACUUUGAAGAUGCCUUUUUAUAGUAGAUGCUCUCAAGUUAUGUACGUAGAUUGCCUGUGAACCACGAAAGGAAAUGUCUUAUAACAUCUAUAAUGAAACUAUAUUUUCUUUAUUUGGAGAGCAAACAGGCUCCAUUAGAAUUACUGUAUUACUUAUCAUGGCUUUGACCAGAAGCUUGCAAAUUAAAUGUUUACUUUCACUUGGAUUCUACCAUCCUUGGCAUGCUGGUCUGUUCUAAAAAACAUUUCAAAUGUCAGGACAAAAAGUGAUUCAAAGUUAGCUUCUUAUUCAAGAAUAUAUUAUUUCAGGAUCAGAACACUUUUAUAGCUGAAUUAAGCAAACUGUUAUAUUUGAAAGAAACCCAGGACUAUACAAAAUUCACAGCCUGCAUAUCUAGCAUAAUAAAUGAUUCUUUAAGUAGUUACCAGUGAAACAGGUUUCAUGUAGUAUACAAGUUCUUAACACCUAGUUUGCAUCUCUAGUGGAAAGCAUUGAGUUGCUCCCACAGGCUUCCACAACAGCAAAUAUUUAGUGAUUAGAGUAUAUUUCCAGCUUCAACUCCAUCUCAGGUUCUUUGGUCUUAAAAUCUUUUUCUUGAUAUAUACCAUAGAAGACAGGGUUACUGAUCUGUGCAGUCGAUCCACUGCAGCUGCAGUUAUUGAUUCACUAAAUUCAUUAAAUUCAUUAAACUCUCUUCUUAAGUACUAACAUAGUAAAACCCCAGUCUUUGGAGAUUAACUAUCAUCAACAAACCACAUUAGAGCUGGGACUAGCGAAAACUCGUUAAAUGACUACAUCAAUACUGCUUUCUGUAAUUGAGAUUUAGAAAUGGAUGAUAAAUCAAUAACAUGAAUUUAAGAAGCCACCUUCAGUAUCUCAGCCAUAAACAGGAAUCUAAGAUAUGUCUAAAGUUGUGGUUUUAGCCUGAUAGAACGUGUCUGCAGAAUGUCAGCCGGAACAUCUGUUUGCAAAAUAAAUACAGCAGGACAAGGACUGACCUCUCAAACUCAACAAAGGGAAAAAGUGAAAGACAACUUGCAAGAAAACAAUGGCAAAUAGUUCAGAUGCAGUAAAAAUGGUAGAAGAUCAAGAUAUGUGCCAUACUUUUCACUUUUACACAGCCUUUCUUCCUGCUUAGCUUUAAUUGUAACUAGCUUAAACUCUUUGUGGAAGGGGCUUGUCUUCUCCAUAUGUGAAGCAUCUAUGACGGUUAUGGAUCCUUUAUGACAAUGAAUAAUAAAUAUGAUAAUAAAUAAUAAAUAUGAAUAAUGAAUACAAAAUUUGAUCAGAGAGACUGUAAGGAAAGAUUUUUCUCUUUGAUCUACUGGAAUAAUAUAUUUAAUUUAUAACUUAUUAUUGUUAUCAGAAAGCCUCCUUCCUAAAAUACUUUUAACUUCUAAAAUAAGGCCUACCUUUUUGCAUAACAAAUGAAGUUCAAGGAAGAAAACUAUAGUCCUAAUGUAUAGGUUUGGAUGAAAAAUGGGAAACCACUUCAAGUAGCAAGCAAGAAUGAUUCUAAUAAAAUCAAAUUAGUUCUGAUUAGCUGAAAAAAGAACAGAGGAAUGGCAGAGCCUCUUUCUCAAUAUAUAAUAUUGGCUCUGACUCCUGAGGCAGUGCUGUCAACACUGGCCUACACAGUGUCUUCAACCGUAAAUUGAAAAUGAUGAAAAAUAUGUGUAAAAUCUGAUGCAAAUUAGUUUCAAUAAAGUGUAAUCCUUGACAAAAGUCAUACUGAUUUAUAAAAGGGCAGUAUUUUGCUCUCUGCUUGUUUUUCUCCUCAAGGGGCUAGCAAAAUAUUAGCAAAGUUGCAACAUCUUAAAUGUCACUUGCUG